UGAAUAUUUGAAAUAAUAUUUGAAAUAAAUAAAUCAUAUGUCAAUCAACAUUAUAUAACUAAUAUCAACUUUUUCAUAAAAUUGAGAAACACUGUCUACGGUUAUUGGGUUACAGUUUCACACUCACGGUGGUCUGUCACCGUACAAUCUUUAGAAACACAUCUUCAAUGAUUAAUAGGAAUUAAUUCAUGCUGGUACAUGUUAGAGAGUAGGAAAAAAAUAGGAGAAAAAGAAAGGAACGUGCGAAAUUUGGCGCCUGAUAGCGCCACGAUGGUGCAUUCUCAAGGAAAAUAAACCGUUCGCUGUCUGACUAUUUGAUUUAUGAGCGCGGGCGACAACCUACCGCACGGCAUACCGAAAUAGAUCAAGAGGAGAACCAUUGCAGUGCAUGCGCGAGGUAAAUCACCUUAUAUAUUAAUAUGCAUGCACAUACAUUGCGUGGGCGCUGACCAUUAAGGUGUUGUUACGACAUCAGACGCAGAGUACACACGUUUGUAAAUACCACUUUACAUGGAACACAUUUGGACGCGUGUAUGUUACACGAUCUGUUCCGUAUUUGGAAUAUCAGUAUUAGAGUGAAUCUUCAUAUUUAUAUAUAUAUAUAUAGCUUGCACAGUCACAAGCAAG